AGACGCCCGGCUUGUUUACAGGCCCCAGGCCUGCCCGCCGCCGCCGCCGCGCAGGCCCGCACCGCCCGCCAGCCCGCCGUCGGCCCGAGCGCCGCACUUACCCGGAGCAGCCGCAGGCGGGCAGGUCCCUGGUCGGCCGAGGCGGCGGCGGCGGCAGCCGGGGAGGGGGUCACCGCGGCGGCGACGGCGGCAGCCGGGGGAGGGGUCACCGCUGCAGCGGCGGGCCAGGUCAGGCUGGGGAAGGGGCGGAGGAGGGGAGGAGCCGGGCUGCGUCCGGGCCCCCGGCUGUCGGCGCCCUCGCGGCUCAGAUCAUCCGGGCGUUGGAGAGGGAGGCAGAGAGCGGGUCCCGGAGAAGGAGGAGGAAGAGCCGAGGACUCAUCGCUUUCGCGCCUCAGCUGUCUAGAGUCCCCCCACCCCCCCCUCCCCAACCACCCGUUCCGGAGCAACAGCCGCCUGAGGACCCGAAGCUGCGGGCCGGACGAGCGCCGAGACCACUGCUCUCUAGCUCCCGCGCGCGCUCCCGUCCCUAGCGCCGCCACCGCCGCCGCCGCCGCCUCUAGCGCGGCCCCGCGCAGGCGCGCUCACGACCGCGUCGCCCCUCCCCCACCCCUCCGCUCGCCCCGCCCCGCUGGCUCCGCCGCCGCUACAGCUGCGGCGCGGCGCGCAGCUACAGAGACCCGGAUGUCGUUGGGCAGGAACUGCGGUGAGGGCUGGCGGGCGGGGGAGGGGCCGCCACAGAUGACGUCACUGCCUUACCCAGCUUCUUUCUCUGCCGCUGCUGCUGCCGCCGCCUUUGCCUUACGGCCUGGAGCACCAGGCCGAAGCCGAAGGGAGCGUCCGGAUCCCGGAUAGCAGCCAGGACCCGGGCCUUCACGUUCCGGCGCCAGGGACUGGACAGAAUGUGCGGCUAUUAGGUGCCCAGUAGAUCGACAGCCCCUCCGUGCCGGCCCUUGGCCAAGUAGGGACUCGGAAGCUACCCCUACGGCGUCCGCGCCCGGAGCCCUGGCUCUUCUACCUGCCUGCAGAUACAAACCCCACUCCCUGCGAAGAUGGUGUACACGCAGCCCCGAGCACAGACCCGAAGCUGUCCACCCUUCUUGGGCGCCGUCGCGGUCUGGCCGCUGCCCUUCGAACCCAUGUUCAGACAGGGUUUCACCGUGUUGGCCAGGAUGGUCUCGGUUUCCUGACCUCGUGAUCCACCCUCCUCGGCCUCCCAAAGUGCUGGGAUUACAGUCGUGAGCCACUGUUCCCGGCCAGAAUUCCUUAGAAGAUGAUCGUGGAUCAUUUCCACAUAUACAAAAUAAAAAUAAAAUUCACUAUGCAUUUGGUCUCAGUAUCAUCUGAGGAUACAUUUCCUAAUUCUCCACAUAUCUCCCCGACCCCCCAAAAAAAGAAAUUAGAUCAGAGAUCUUUGAAACGCUACCUUCUUGGAAUCCUUAAUACUCCAGGCAAGUAACAGCAUGAGUAGCAUGCUGGUGGACUCAUUAACAUUCUGAACUACAAAAGCUCAUAUGGCAACCAUUUAGAGUGCUCUUAAAAGACAAAUUUUCUUAUUUAUAAGCAGAAGCUGGGUCACUAGUGACGGUAGUGGACCAUAGAAAACUUGAAAUGCCUGCCUAUCUUUCUGCUUCCUUCCUUUAGGCUUCCACACCUUUCUUCUCUCUGUUCUGCACUUGGAGAAU
rnacentral:lncRNA from 1 species